rnacentral:rRNA from 1 species
CACGUAGGGCGCAAGCGUUGUCCGGAUUUAUUGGGCGUAAAGAGCUCGUAGGCGGCUUAGCAAGUCAGAUGUGAAAACUCCAGGCUCAACCUGGAGACGCCAUUUGAUACUGCUAUGGCUUGAGUUCGGUAGGGGACCAUGGAAUUCCUGGUGUAGCGGUGAAAUGCGCAGAUAUCAGGAGGAACACCGAUGGCGAAGGCAGCUCGCUGGGACGGUACUGACGCUGAGGCGCGAAAGCGUGGGGAGCAAACGGG